rnacentral:rRNA from 1 species
GAUGAACGCUGGCGGCGUGCCUAAUACAUGCAAGUCGAGCGAACAGACGAGGAGCUUGCUCCUCUGACGUUAGCGGCGGACGGGUGAGUAACACGUGGAUAACCUACCUAUAAGACUGGGAUAACUUCGGGAAACCGGAGCUAAUACCGGAUAAUAUAUUGAACCGCAUGGUUCAAUAGUGAAAGACGGUUUUGCUGUCACUUAUAGAUGGAUCCGCGCCGCAUUAGCUAGUUGGGAAGGUAACGGCUUACCAAGGCAACGAUGCGUAGCCGACCUGAGAGGGUGGUCGGCCACACUGGAACUGAGACACGGUCCAGACUCCUACGGGAGGCAGCAGUAGGGAAUCUUCCGCAAUGGGCGAAAGCCUGACGGAGCAACGCCGCGUGAGUGAUGAAGGUCUUCGGAUCGUAAAACUCUGUUAUUAGGGAAGAACAAAUGUGUAAGUAACUAUGCACGUCUUGACGGUACCUAAUCAGAAAGCCACGGCUAACUACGUG